GGGCUGUUAGCUCAGUUGGUUUAGAGCAUCGCCUUGACAGGGCGGGGGUCGACGGUUCGAAUCCGCCACAGCCCA
rnacentral:tRNA from 1 species